GGCUUCUUGGUGUAGUGGUACCACGCCUCUUUCUGGAAAUGGAAGAGGAGAUCCCGGCGUUCGAUUCCCGGAGAGGUCA